UUAAUAAAUCAUUUGAUUUUUCAGCCUUUUAUUAUCAAUACCUAAAAAAACAUUGUUAAUAACGGAUUGAUAGAUCCGUGGCUAAAAAUAUGGAUUAGCAACAGAUCCAUUGAUACUCCUUGUAUCGUUAAAGUAUUAGAUGCAUAUAAUAAGGACAGUUAGUGAGAUUCAAACUCUCAAUCUAGUAGGAACACUGAACUGAGUUUUACAAACUUCAUUAGCAUCAAAGUAUUUAAAAUAUUAAUUCUAUAGAAAAGGAUUGUUGACAGAGUCAGGUUUAGUUUGUACAACUAUCACCAAAUGAUGGAGCCGGAGGAAUCCAUGUAUAUGUGACAAACGACCUUUGACCCACAAAUCAGCUUUCUAUAUGCAAAGUGGGCUUGCCUGAGGGACCCCCAGCUUUUGUUAUCCCCGGCAGAAAAGGAGCAAAAUGGAUGUGUCUAGUGUCUAUUUUCUCUGUAUUAUUCAGUUAAAAUGGCCAUAUAAUUAUGUUCAUUUUUAGCCAGUGUUACUCAGUCUCCCCUUCUCUAUUCUGCUAUGCCGCUUAGCUAGCCUUUUUACAUGUUUUUUUCUUCCUCUAAUGCUCGCACUUAAGACCUCUUUCAACUCUAUAAAUACCGGUAAAUGUCCCUCCUGGCGAAUCACAUCCAGGGUUUGUUUUUCUUGUUAUACAAUAACAAGAACAUAGUUAGAGCUAUUUCUAAUAGCUUCUCAUCUUGUUUUCUUCAUUCUUAUGCUGAUCGCUGCCAUUGUUCCAACAAGCAGAGCUUGAGGGAAGGAAUUCAUUGUUGGAGAUGAAGCAGGAUGGAGACUAGGACUUGAUUACCAAGCUUGGUCUCAGGGCAAGAAGUUUCAUGUUGGAGAUAAGUGUAUUUAGAUAUUAUGUGGGAGCUCACAACGUGUUUAAGGUGAACGGAUCUGGGUACCAGAACUACAUUAAGCCAAAGCUAGGCGAGGCACUAGGGUACCAGAACUACAUUAAGCCUAAGGUAGGUGAGGCACUAAGUACUGGAAAUGACACAAUCGUUUUGGCAACUCCGGGAAGAAAAUGGUACGUUUGUGGAGUAGGCAAGAGAAUGGCAUGAAACUUUCUAUAAAUAUAUUAAUAUUUAAAGCACGAGCUCCCAAGCCUAGUCCACCCGCUCCACUCACUUACGACAAAGAAUUCAUAGUUGGAGAUGAAGCAGGAUGGAGACUAGGAUUUGAUUGUCAAGCUUGGGCUAAGGGCAAGCACUUCAGAGUUGGAGACAAGCUUGUUUUUCAGUAUUACCCAGAAGCUCACAAUGUGUUUAAGAGGAAUGGAACUGGGUUCUAAAACUGCAUUAGGCCACCGGCAACUGAAGCACCAAUAACCGGAAAUGAUAAAAUAGUUUUGGCAACUCCGGGAAGAAAAUGGUACACUUGCGGUGCAGGGAGCACUGCGAGAAAGGGAUGAAAGUCUUUGUAACUGUGCUACCACCAGCUGCUAAAGCACCCUAUACUCCAAAAAAUGUCUGAGGGGACUAUUUGUUAAUUAGAUUUUCUUAGCAGCGGACAUGUUUAACAAUCAGAUCUUAGUACUUGUCUAAGGUUAUUGUCUUGUGUUUGAUUAAUAUGUUCUUUUUCAAGGGGUUUGCAUGAAUGAUGCUUUUGUAUCAUUCAUUCUAGCUAGCUUUUUAUCAGAUGUGUCCUAAAGAAUUUGGAAUGAUUGAUUGCCUAACCAAUUAAACAGUUGUUUUA